CUUGAAGCCGUAUAAACAACUGCUUGAAGCGGUGGGUAUGUCCCAAAUCGCGUAGUUACCGUCUAUAUAGUAGCCGAGAUACAUGUACUUUUUCCCCACUACAGGCCUAUAGUAGGAAAGUAUGCGAUUUGGGACACACCGAACUCUCUUGUUCGCCGUAAAACGUGAAACUGCCGUGUGUGAUCGCGUCCUGUCGCAAAAUGCGGUGAAAACUCUCACACGACCUUCAUAAUGUGAUUAAGGUGUUUAUAUGUCACUACUACACGUCCAUAAUGCGACUAAAACAGGAGUACUCCACCUGUCUUAAUCAGAUUAUUGCUUACUUCAAUUGUGACCUUAAUUAGAUUAAACUGGACCUGUUCUCUCUGCUGCUUAAUCUCUCAGACCUGGUUACCUCAGAGCACUGUUGAAGUAUUUUAGAGGUGGGGCACAACCAACAACCAAUGCCAUCUGCCCCAAGUGCCCAAUCGAACAAAAUUUAUAUGGAUAAACCAUGCUUUUUGGAGCCUAUCCCAAGGGGCACAGGGCGGGAGACACCCUGGACAGGGCACAAUCAUACAUUAUGGACAUGCCAAUCUGCCUACAAUGCAUGUCAUUGGACUGGGGGAGGAAAUCACCAAAGCACAGGGAGAUGCAUGCAAACGCUGCACACACAGGGCCAUAGUGGGAAUCAAACUCUCAACCCUGGAAGUGUGAGGCAAGCAUGCUAACCACUAAGCCAUCGUGCCACCAAAAGUGAUUAAAGUGGUUAACUUGUUUACAGUAAAUGCAUUGUCUGCUGGUUUAUUUUGCUACUUUUCAGUAAUUACGUAUGCCACUUAGUACUGUAAUAUUAAGUAUUUGAAUAUUAAAGAAUAUUAAAGUGCAAAUUAACACCUGA